GCUUCCUAGUGCUUGAGCAGCUCACAUAAAUCUUUCGCCUUUUACUAAAGAUUUCCGUGGAGAGGAACAUUUAUGAGUUUCGACCCAAUUUUUUUUGAGCAGCUAAAGAUUUAA
rnacentral:snRNA from 1 species